CUAGCUUUACAUUCGAUGAAGCAGGAUCCAAUUGUGAGGCCUAGAGUUACGUUCUCCUCGCUAUCCAGGGUUUCAUUUAACAUGAUUCAUUUGGACGUCGGAGAACUACAUUU